GACGAACGCUGGCGGCGUGCUUAACACAUGCAAGUCGAACGGAAAGGCCCCUUUGGGGGUACUCGAGUGGCGCACGGGUGAGUAACACGUGAGUAACCUGCCCUUGACUUCGGGAUAACUUCAGGAAACUGGGGCUAAUACCGGAUAGGAAUCCUUGCUGCAUGGUGGGGGUUGGAAAGCUUCGACGGUUUUGGAUGGACUCGCGGCUUAUCAGCUUGUUGGUGGGGUAGUGGCUUACCAAGGCUUUGACGGGUAGCCGGCCUGAGAGGGCGACCGGCCACAUUGGGACUGAGAUACGGCCCAGACUCCUACGGGAGGCAGCAGGGGGGAAUAUUGCACAAGGGGCGGAAGCCUGAUGCAGCAACGCCGCGUGCGGGAUGACGGCCUUCGGGUUGUAAACCGCUUUCAGCAGGGGCGAAGCUUGUGGUGACGGUACCUGCAGAAGAAGCACCGGCUAACUACGUG
rnacentral:rRNA from 1 species